AGCAGCCGCGGUAAUUCCAGCUCCAAUAGCGUAUAUUAAAGUUGUUGCAGUUAAAAAGCUCGUAGUUGAAUUUCGGGACUAAUAUGUCGGUCGUGCCUCGGUACGUACUGGUAUUUUUGGUUUCUCCCUUCUGAUGAACCUUGAUGUCAUUAAUUUGGUGUCUUGGGAAAUCAGGACUGUUACUUUGAAAAAAUUAGAGUGUUUAAAGCAAGCUAACGCUUGAAUACAUUAGCAUGGAAUAAUGAAAUAGGACGUUCGAUCCUAUUUUGUUGGUUUCUUAGGAUUGACGUAAUGAUUAAUAGGGAUAGUUGGGGGCAUUAGUAUUCAAUUGUCAGAGGUGAAAUUCUUGGAUUUAUUGAAGACUAACUACUGCGAAAGCAUUUGCCAAGGAUGUUUUCAUUAAUCAAGAACGAAAGUUAGGGGAUCGAAGACGAUCAGAUACCGUCGUAGUCUUAACCAUAAACUAUGCCGACUAGGGAUCGGAUGAUGUUAAUUUUUAAUGACUCAUUCGGCGCCUUAC
rnacentral:rRNA from 1 species